AUGUCAAGAUCUUUUGUCCCUCGGCGGACACCGUUUGCCAGCCGAAGCUCUGUCUCCGCGCUCACCGACUUCAUAGGGUGCCGAGUUCUUUUUUCCCCUAGCUUGCCAUGGCGAGCCGAGGGGCUCGGCAGCGCUUGAAGGGCAGCGGGGGCAGCGGUGGGGACACGGCCCCGGCCGCGGACAAGCUGCGGGAGCUGCUGGGCAGCCGUGAGGCGGGCGGCGCGGAGCACCGGACUGAGUUAUCUGGGAACAAAGCAGGACAAGUUUGGGCACCCGAAGGAUCUACUGCUUUCAAGUGUCUGCUUUCAGCAAGGUUAUGUGCUGCUCUCCUGAGCAACAUCUCUGACUGUGAUGAAACAUUCAACUACUGGGAGCCAACACACUACCUCAUCUACGGGGAGGGGUUUCAGACUUGGGAAUAUUCCCCAGCAUAUGCCAUUCGCUCCUAUGCUUACCUGUUGCUGCAUGCCUGGCCAGCUGCAUUUCAUGCAAGAAUUCUACAAACUAAUAAGAUUCUUGUCUUUUACUUUUUGCGAUGUCUUCUGGCUUUUGUGAGCUGUAUUUGUGAACUUUACUUUUACAAGGCUGUGUGCAAGAAGUUUGGGUUGCACGUGAGUCGAAUGAUGCUAGCCUUCUUGGUUCUCAGUACUGGCAUGUUUUGCUCAUCAUCAGCAUUCCUUCCUAGUAGCUUCUGUAUGUACACUACGUUGAUAGCCAUGACUGGAUGGUAUAUGGAAAAGACUUCCAUUGCUGUGCUGGGAGUAGCAGCUGGGGCCAUCUUAGGCUGGCCAUUCAGUGCAGCUCUUGGUUUACCCAUUGCCUUUGAUUUGAUGGUCAUGAAACACAGAUGGAAGAGUUUCUUUUACUGGUCGCUGGUGGCCCUCAUACUCUUUCUGGUGCCUGUGGUGGUCAUUGACAGCUACUAUUAUGGGAAGUUGGUGAUUGCACCACUCAACAUUGUUUUGUAUAAUGUCUUUACUCCUCAUGGACCUGAUCUUUAUGGUACAGAACCCUGGUAUUUCUAUUUAAUUAAUGGAUUUCUGAAUUUCAAUGUAGCCUUUGCUUUGGCUCUUCUAGUCCUACCACUGACUUCUCUUAUGGAAUACCUGCUGCAGAGAUUUCAUGUUCAGAAUUUAGGCCACCCAUAUUGGCUUACCUUGGCUCCAAUGUAUAUUUGGUUUAUGAUUUUCUUCAUCCAGCCUCACAAAGAGGAGAGAUUUCUUUUCCCUGUAUAUCCACUUAUAUGUCUCUGUGGUGCUGUGGCUCUCUCUGCACUUCAGCACAGUUUUCUGUACUUCCAGAAAUGUUACCACUUCGUGUUUCAACGAUAUCGCCUGGAGCACUAUACUGUGACGUCGAAUUGGCUGGCAUUAGGGACUGUCUUCCUGUUUGGGCUCUUGUCAUUUUCUCGCUCUGUGGCACUCUUCAGAGGAUAUCAUGGGCCCCUUGAUUUGUAUCCAGAAUUUUACCGAAUUGCUACAGACCCAACCAUCCACACUGUCCCAGAAGGCAGACCUGUGAAUGUCUGUGUAGGAAAAGAGUGGUAUCGGUUUCCCAGCAGCUUCCUUCUGCCUGAUAAUUGGCAGCUUCAGUUCAUUCCAUCAGAGUUCAGAGGUCAGUUACCAAAACCUUUUGCAGAAGGACCACUGGCUACCCGGAUUGUUCCUACUGACAUGAAUGACCAGAAUAUAGAAGAGCCAUCCAGAUAUAUCGAUAUCAGCAAAUGCCAUUAUUUAGUGGAUUUGGACACCAUGAGAGAAACACCCCGGGAGCCAAAAUACUCAUCCAAUAAAGAAGAAUGGAUCAGCUUGGCCUAUAGACCAUUCCUUGAUGCUUCUAGAUCUUCAAAGCUGCUGCGGGCAUUCUAUGUCCCCUUCCUGUCAGAUCAGUAUACAGUAUACGUAAACUAUACCAUCCUCAAACCCCGGAAAGCAAAGCAAAUCAGGAAGAAAAGUGGAGACCGGAGAAGAGCAGAACCAACUUACAGGAAGAAUUGAAAAUCGUGGGACUGGAUGGCUGUGUUAAGCUGUUCUCCACACUCUGACCUGGCAUCUGAGUACUAGCAAGCCUCUCUUAGGCCAUAUGGGCUUCUCCACCAAAGCUGUUUGGCAGCUCCUAGCAGCAGACCUUCUUGUUCAAAUCCUCGUGCUGUAAAUGAACACAGCCUAGUUGCCAACCCACAUGUCCUUUUCACCUCCAGCAAGACUAAGCUUCUGUAAAGCACUUCACAGGACUAGGACCCUGUCCUGGAGCUAUCUCAGGAAAAAGAAAGAUCAGACUUCCCUACGGCAUUGUUGGAUUUCAGAGGCUCUUUGGUUUAUCUGUAAAUCUGAAUGUUGCCUUUACUUUCGCCAGUCUAGAUAACCAUGUAAUUCAUGCUGCAAAUGAAAUCAGGAAGUGGUAAAGUGUUAAAGCAAGAGUAUUGUCCAAUUCACUUGUCUUCCUGAUCCUUGUACUGUGUCAGUGUUUACAUUACAUACUUAUAUUUCCUGUGAAAGAAAAAGUUAAAUA